rnacentral:sRNA from 1 species
AUUCUUGGUCAUUUUAGAGGAAGUAAAAGUCGUAACAAGGUUUCCGUAGGUGAACCUGCGGAAGGAUCAUUAACGAGUUAGGGUCUCCCAGGCCCGACCUCCCCACCCUGUGUUUACUGGACCGUGUACAAGUCUCCUGAACUGUUAUGGACCGCCGGGGGGUUACCUUAAUCGGCCCUCUGGUCAGCGCUCGUCGAUAGCCAAACUUUUAAAAUCUUAACUAAACGUGCCUCAAUCUAAGUACUAUUUGUUAAAUAAAAGCAAAACUUUCAACAACGGAUCUCUUGGUUCUGGCAUCGAUGAAGAACGCAGCGAAAUGCGAUAAGUAAUGCGAAUUGCAGAAUUUCAGUGAGUCAUCGAAUCUUUGAACGCACAUUGCGCCCUUUGGUAUUCCGAAGGGCAUGCCUGUUCGAGCGUCAUUAUCACCCCUCAAGCCCCCGGCUUGGUGUUGGACGGUUUGGUGGAGGCCCCCUCGCGGGGCCACCGCCCCUCCCAAAGACAAUGACGGCGGCCUCGUUGGACCCCCGGUACACUGAGUUCUUCACGGGACACGUAUCGGACACUAUGGGUUUACGGGACACGGUCUGCCUCCCCUCAGGGAGAAUCUUUUCUAAGGUUGACCUCGGAUCAGGUAGGGAUACCCGCUGAACUUAAGCAUAUCAAUA